AUGUACAUUCCUACAACAUAGCGUUAAUGCAUUGGAUCCCAUUAGAACUCCGCAAUUAAGCGUGCUCGGGCUUGAUUAGUACUGGGAUGGGUGACUGCCCAGGAAGUCCUAGUAUUUUACAUG
rfam:Picea glauca, whole genome shotgun sequence.